UGGGGAGUAUUGCACAAUGGGCGCAAGCCUGAUGCAGCCAUGCCGCGUGUAUGAAGAAGGCCUUCGGGUUGUAAAGUACUUUCAGCGGGGAGGAAGGGAGUAAAGUUAAUACCUUUGCUCAUUGACGUUACCCGCAGAAGAAGCACCGGCUAACUCCGUGCCAGCAGCCGCGGUAAUACGGAGGGUGCAAGCGUUAAUCGGAAUUACUGGGCGUAAAGCGCACGCAGGCGGUUUGUUAAGUCAGAUGUGAAAUCCCCGGGCUCAACCUGGGAACUGCAUCUGAUACUGGCAAGCUUGAGUCUCGUAGAGGGGGGUAGAAUUCCAGGUGUAGCGGUGAAAUGCGUAGAGAUCUGGAGGAAUACCGGUGGCGAAGGCGGCCCCCUGGACGAAGACUGACGCUCAGGUGCGAAAGCGUGGGGAGCAAACAGG
rnacentral:rRNA from 1 species